rnacentral:lncRNA from 1 species
AUUUGCUGCCAAAGCUCCUAACUCCCCACCACACAUACAUACAUGCGCGCACGCAAACACACAAACACACAAAAACACAACACACAAAACACACACAAACACACAUGCACAAACACACGCACACACACAAACAUGCAUACACACGCAAACGUGCACAAACACGCAAACACAUGCAGGCACACACAAACACGCCCACAACACAGACACGCACGCACACAAACACACAUGCACGCACAAACGCAUACACAGACACGCACACAAACGCACGCACAGACAAACGCACACACACAACACCCAAACACGCACAAGGACGCACACACACGCACACACAAAUACCCAUGCACACGCAAACACGUACACAAACACAUACACACAAACACGCACAAACACAUGCAUGCACACACACAUGCAGGCACACACAAACACAAACACGCACACACACAAACACACGCAAACACACACACACAAACAACACACCCCGCCACCUGCGAUGGCUUUUCCGUUCUCUAUUAACACAUUUAUUCAUCACUGUGUUGUCUCUCCUUGGGGGAAAUUUUCCUUGGCAGAUCGCAAUCAAAAGUUUUCAGAGAACUAUUUACCCAUCUUUCCUAGUGUAGGAAAGGAUAAAAACUUUCUUUACCCUCCUAGGUUCAGAAGCUGAGAACUGUGAAUUAAACUAACAAAGUACAGAUUACCAGGAAAAAAAAAAAGGUUUAUUUUGCAUGCACAAGGAGGCUUCACAGAAAAGAAGUGAAAACUCAAAAAGUAAUUAGGCCUGGGAGCAUGUAUCAUUUUAACAAAGGGUGAUGCAUUGUGGAAAAGUAGACAAAGGAAAGGUUUUGGACUUCUAGGGGCAGUAGAUUUUAAGAAGGUAAAUAUAUAGGGGAAAACUAAUGAAAGAUAAGGGCUAUUUUAGUAAUGUUUUCACAGACUCCAAUAAAUGCUGUUUACUGGGGCAUAGGAGUUGCAUCCUCUCCCUGGUCUGGGAAAUGUAAAUAUUUAUAAGUAGAAAAAUUUGUUUACACAUUUUUUGGGGGCCAGGCGCAGUGGCUCACACCUGUAAUUUCAGCACUCUGGGAGGCCCAGGUGGGCCGAUCACUUGAAGCCAGGAGUUCAAGACCAGCCUGGCCAACAUGGUGAAACCCUGUCUCUACCUAAAAAUACAAAAAUUAGCCAGGCAUUGUGGCUCAUGACUGUAAUCCCAGCUACUUGGGAGGCUGAGGCAGGAAAAUCACUUUAACCAAGAGGCAGA